AGGGAAGUAAGCUAAGUUAAGCUAAUGGGUUCAUACCCCAUUUAUAGAGUUUUUCCUCUCUUCCCUA
rnacentral:tRNA from 1 species